UGAAAAUUAGACUGUAAUCGAACGGUUCUAACCCGGCGUACCGGACGGCUGCGGGCCGACCGGCCCAAAUUUGGGCCGGCGCGCCGGCGCAGAGUAGUGCCCUUACUUUUAGCCCAUGACAACCACGAGCCUGCUAUACAUCUGCUCUCUGCUUCGUCGGGUCCUCGACUUCCGCCGCCACUCGGCCGCCGGUUGGCGCCUCUACCCGCCGCCCCCCUUCGCCGCGACGAACUCCGCCGUCAGAUUCCUCCGUUGCGGCGGCAGCCUCGCUUAGCUGCUUGGCUUGUCCUCGACCACCAAGACGGAGGCUCUUCAGACUCACAAGGUUGCCGAUCUCCAGUGGCAGCGAGAUGGUUCCUGUAAGCUUGUGUGGCCUAGAUUGGUUACCUUGAGACUGUACAUGGAGGAAGUUGGAACGGAUGCAAAUUAUGGAGUUAAGUAGUUAACGGAGCUAGAUGAAACAUGUUGCCAGGUUAAGGGAUUAAACUCUCUUUUGUCUCCGCCAAAUUCUCGGCCGGCAUAUUGCGGCUUGCCUAUGUUUAUAUUGGUAUACGUGAUUA